CCUCUAUGUUUGCCAAACAAGCUCCACCUGUUGAAAUCCACUGAUAUUAGUCCGGGGGUGAUGCAGAGGAGCAAAAAUGGCGCGGUAUUUGGCGGGCGGAGCAUUUCGUAUGCGUAGGCUUCAGAAAUCUUCUCUUUCUUCUUCUUCCUUCUAUCUCGCUCGCUCCAUCUUCAAUCCCCUAUCUUCUCCUCCUCCUCCUCCUCCUCCUCCUACUACUACUACCUUUUACCAAAUCCCAAUCCCUAACCCUAAUUAUUCCAACACCUUCACUCCCACCUCUGAAAUUUUCAAAUUCGGUUGCGAUUUUCGAUCCUUUGCCCACAUUUCAACAAGCAGCGUGGAGGAAAAGAACAAUGAUGAUGAUGAUGAUGGUGAUCGAUCCAAGGCGGUGGUGUCUACUUCUUGGAUUGACUUGUAUUUGCCGAAACACGUUCAACCUUAUGCUCGUCUCGCUCGCCUUGAUAAGCCCAUUGGGACUUGGCUCCUUGCUUGGCCUUGUAUGUGGUCGAUUAGCUUGGCGGCAAUUCCGGGACAUUUGCCUGAUUUUAAGAUGAUGUUGCUGUUUGGUUGUGGAUCUUUGCUUCUCAGGGGUGCUGGAUGUACCGUAAAUGACCUCAUCGAUCGCGACAUUGAUACAAAGGUGGAACGUACAAAGUUGCGACCAGUUGCAAGUGGUCUUUUGUCACCAUUUCAAGGGCUUUGUUUUCUUGGGUUUCAGUUGCUUUUGGGUCUUGGGAUUCUCCUUCAAUUGAAUGAUUAUAGCCGCAUUUUGGGGGCUUCAUCCUUGUUGCUAGUAUUCUCCUAUCCUCUUAUGAAGAGGUUUACAUUUUGGCCUCAAGCCUAUCUAGGUUUGACCUUUAACUGGGGUGCUCUGUUAGGCUGGGCUGCAGUUAAAGGAAGUCUGGAUCCAGCUAUAGUGCUCCCAUUGUACAUUUCUGGAGUAUUUUGGACUCUUGUGUAUGAUACGAUAUAUGCACAUCAGGAUAAAGAAGAUGAUUUGAAAGUGGGUGUUAAAUCUACAGCUUUGAGAUUUGGGGAUUCGACUAAGGAGUGGAUUAAUGGGUUUGGAAUAGCAUCCAUCAGUAGUCUUGCCCUCUGUGGAUAUAAUGCUGGGGUUGGGUGGCCAUAUUAUGCAUUUCUGACAGCUGCAUCUGGACAAUUAGCUUGGCAGAUAUGGACGGUUGACCUAUCAUCACGUGCUGAUUGCAAUAGGAAAUUUGUUUCCAACAAGUGGUUUGGUGCUAUUAUUUUCAGUGGGAUCUUAUUUGGAAGAAUUUCAUCAUAGUGGGAAUGAAGGCUUCCAAAUUGAAUUGAACAGUUUAAGUUCAUUUAAAACAAUAGUAAGCUGCUCUCUCUCUGUCUCUCUCUGUCUCUCCAAGACAUGUAUAUACACUGAAUUGAUAGACUUGAAUGGGUGUUCGUGGGUCAGUUCAGGUUGGUCGCAUAUUGACCCACUACAGACCGACGGCUGUGGGCUGCUUUUUCAGACAUUUGGUGUUCGUGAUAAUGGUUGGGGGAUGGAUCUUUGGGAAAGUUUGGCGGAAAAUUGAGAGAGAGAAGAGGAGUGGUAUGUAUGUAAAGCCCAAUUGCUUUUAAUUAGAAAUCGGGGGAGAUUCUAAAGUGGACCUUUUAAAAGUCCAGCUUUGGAAAUUUUGUGGUCAUUGUAAAAUUAUAUUUUAGAGAGUUGUAUGGAAUCUAUGGAUACUGUUGUAAGAUUCCUUUCUUUUCCUCUUUUUUUUUUUUUUUUUUUUUUUAAUUUUUUUAAUUUUUUUAUAUUAUUUUAAUAUCUUUUAGAGAGCUGUAUGUGUUCUGCUGUAAGAUUCAUUUUUAUGGAUACUGUAUUUGUUUUUUGUUUUUUGUUUUUUUUAGAGAGCUGUAUGGAUACUGAUGUAAGAUUCAUUUUUAUGAAGAAAUGUAGAUGGGAUGAAAAUGGUAUACUUUAACUUUA